CACAGUCACAGGGUGGCUGCCUCUUCUGUGCGCUUUCUCCUCGAACCCAGACCAUCUCCCACCCUCAUCACAGAUUUUAGAUCCUGACCACCCCUCUGGCCCCAGAAUGCGAAAGCAAGUUAAAACCUGCUAGGAAACAGAGACCCUCCCAUAGGAUGGCACGAGAGACCAAGUGAGUUCUAAGAGAUGUAUUCUUAUCCGAGAGCCCAAAGACAAGAAGCAGACACAGCCACAAGCUCCCAGGAACAAGAAUUCCUUGGUCCAGCGAGCUCGAGGCUUCCUCUCCUGGUUAGAGGCCCUGAGAUGAAAUUACCCUGAAUGCAA
rnacentral:lncRNA from 1 species